rnacentral:rRNA from 1 species
AUUGAACGCUGGCGGCAUGCUUUACACAUGCAAGUCGAACGGUAACAGGUUAAGCUGACGAGUGGCGAACGGGUGAGUAAUGCAUCGGAACGUGCCCGAUCGUGGGGGAUAACGCAGCGAAAGCUGCGCUAAUACCGCAUACGAUCUGAGGAUGAAAGCGGGGGACCGUAAGGCCUCGCGCGAUCGGAGCGGCCGAUGUCAGAUUAGGUAGUUGGUGGGGUAAAGGCUCACCAAGCCAACGAUCUGUAGCUGGUCUGAGAGGACGACCAGCCACACUGGGACUGAGACACGGCCCAGACUCCUACGGGAGGCAGCAGUGGGGAAUUUUGGACAAUGGGCGCAAGCCUGAUCCAGCAAUGCCGCGUGCAGGAAGAAGGCCUUCGGGUUGUAAACUGCUUUUGUACGGAACGAAACGGUGAUCUCUAAUACAGAUUGCUAAUGACGG